AGUCCAAACAACCCAAAAUUAAAGCAAAAGACAAUGAAGCAAUGAUCCAUUCCAUUUUGGGUGAGAUAUUUAGGCAGCAAGUGCAAAGUGCAGUAUUGUCCAAUUGGGAAAUAGAAAUAUAGAUUGAUUUAUAUGGUGAGGAUGGGUUUGGCCUGCUAAUUGUGGCGUGGGCACGAGCCUCUCACGUGACCCAAUCGACGGUCCUGGAAUUGCCCAUAACCCCCCGCCACGUCAGAAUCUCCGGCGAAAGCCACCGCGUCUCCGCCACCUCCGACCUACGCCCCGCGGGAUCCUUCUGGAUCUACGUUGUCCCCCUCGAAACCACCAACAAUGAGAACCUCGAAGCCCUUUACUGACAAGCACGGGAUGCUUAUUAUAGUGGUCACCCUCUCAUAGUUGAUGACAUGUUUGAUAGAGUAGAGGUGAGUUAAGGCUGAGAUGGUUUGGUUCAAAGUCAGUUGUCAAGUCUCCUCGGUGCAGUAUAAGGAGGCAAUCCACAUUUGCUGAUGCUGAGCUAAGGUGCUUCAUGGCCUUUGGAGGAAUGACUUGACGGCACUAAAAGGUGCAUGUCCAAAUUGUGGAGAAGAGGUAUUUGCAUUUGUGAGAAUGGACAGGAAUAUUGAGUCACCUCACAGAGCAGAUUGUCAUGUGUGUGAAUGCAUAUUAGAAUUUCGCACAAAAGUUGAGCAAUCAGUAUCGAGAUUUGGUAGACAGUGGGUUUAUGGGCAUAUUUAUCUUGUUUCACUAAGGCAGAUCCCGACGCCAAUAACAGCUGUGAAUUUUCUUCCGAUUUGUUUGUGUAGUUAUAUGUUAUGCAAGACUGAGUAUUGAAUUCUCAUGACAAUUGAUGCUCAUGUAAAGCAGAAUCCCGAUUAUCAUGUAUACAAGAUGAGCUCUGUAUUUUUUAUACUUUUGUAUCUUGUAGAAACACUUGUGAUCAAAUAUGAAAUGUCAGAAACAGAGUUAUACUCCCACUUUA